GAUGAACGCUGGCGGCGUGCCUAAUACAUGCAAGUCGAGCGAACUUUUGGGAGCUUGCUCCCAAAAGUUAGCGGCGGACGGGUGAGUAACACGUGGGUAACCUGCCUGUAAGACUGGGAUAACUUCGGGAAACCGGAGCUAAUACCGGAUAACAUUGAAGACAACAUGGCCUUCAAUUAAAAGGUGGCUUUUAGCUACCACUUACAGAUGGACCCGCGCCGCAUUAGCUAGUUGGUAAGGUAACGGCUCACCAAGGCACCGAUGCUUAGCCGACCUGGGAGGGGGAUCGCCAACACGGGACUGAGACACGGCUCCAGACCCUUCGGGAGGCAGCAGUAGGGAAUCUUCCGCAAUGGAGGAAAGGCUGAAGGGGGCACGCCGCGGGAGCGAAGAAGGGCUUCGGGUCGGAAAGAUCUGUUGUUAGGGAAGAACAAGUAUCGUUCGAAUAGGGCGGUACCUUGACGGUACCUAAUCAGAAAGCCACGGCUAACUACGUG
rnacentral:rRNA from 1 species